rnacentral:rRNA from 1 species
AUUGAACGCUGGCGGCAUGCUUUACACAUGCAAGUCGAACGGUAACAGGCCGCAAGGUGCUGACGAGUGGCGAACGGGUGAGUAACGCAUCGGAACGUGCCCAGUCGUGGGGGAUAACGCAGCGAAAGCUGCGCUAAUACCGCAUACGAUCUAUGGAUGAAAGCGGGGGACCGAAAGGCCUCGCGCGAUUGGAGCGGCCGAUGUCAGAUUAGGUAGUUGGUGGGGUAAAGGCUCACCAAGCCAACGAUCUGUAGCUGGUCUGAGAGGACGACCAGCCACACUGGGACUGAGACACGGCCCAGACUCCUACGGGAGGCAGCAGUGGGGAAUUUUGGACAAUGGGCGCAAGCCUGAUCCAGCAAUGCCGCGUGCAGGAAGAAGGCCUUCGGGUUGUAAACUGCUUUUGUACGGAACGAAACGGCUCUGGUUAAUACCUGGGGCUAAUGACGGUACCGUAAGAAUAAGCACCGGCUAACUACGUGCCAGCCGCCGCUGUAAAAC